rnacentral:rRNA from 1 species
UGGGGAAUUUUGGACAAUGGGGGAAACCCUGAUCCAGCAACGCCGUGUGAGUGAUGAAGGUCUUCGGAUUGUAAAGCUCUGUUAGCCGGGAAAAAACUCGUGAGCAUCAGAUCCUCACGAUUGAUGGUACCGGCAGAGGAAGCACCGGCUAACUCUGUGCCAGCAGCCGCGGUAAUACAGAGGGUGCGAGCGUUAUUCGAAAUUAUUGGGCGUAAAGCGCAAGUAGGUGGUGAGAUAAGUCUUGUGUGAAAUACUCGGGCUCAACCCGAGAGGGUCAUAGGAAACUGUCUCGCCAGAGUGCAAUAGGGGAGAGCGGAAUUCCCAGUGUAGUAGUGAAAUACGUAGAUAUUGGGAGGAACACCGGUGGCGAAAGCGGCUCUCUGGAUUGUUACUGACACUCAGUUGCGAAAGCGUGGGGAUCAAACAGGAUUAGAUACCCACGUAGUCCCUGAGCGGGCUGGCAAGGCGCAU